UCAUCUACGUCAUCUGUCAACUGUCAGUUUAGAUUGACAGAUUGACAGAUUGACAGCCUAGAUAAAAUAAAUUUUCGCGACGACGAAAUUGCUCGACUUUUAAAUUCAAUUCCUGUAAGACAUGCUACUUCAGACGACAACUGGAUCGACCUUAUUACGGACUAUGCCACCGAUACCGGCCGGCUUUGAUCGUGAUGGUGAAGAAAGUGAGUGUGACGGAGGCGAGGAGGAAGAUAUUCCACUCAUGGCUGACCCGAUGGUAGCGUACAAUGUCUCUGAUUAUAAUGAUUCAAUUCAAUUCAAUUCAAUUUUAUUUGUAUAGCGCCAAUUCAUAACAGAAGUUAUCUCAGGACACUUUUCAAAUAGAGCAGGUCUAGACCGAACUCUUUAAAACAUUAAUUACAGAGACCCAACAGUACCACCAUGAGCAAGACCUUGGUGACAAGGGCAAGGAAAAACUGCCUGUUAAAAGGCAGAAACCUAGGACAGAUCCUCCGGCUCUAGGUGGGUGGUCGUCUGUCUCGACCAGUUGGGGUGAGAGAGAGAGAGAGAGAGAGAGAGAGAGAGAGAGAGAGAGAGAGAGAGACAGACAGACAGAGAGAGAGA